rnacentral:snRNA from 1 species
GUGUUCGCUUCAGGAGCACAUACAUUAAAAUUGGAACAAUACAAAGAUCAGCAUGGCCCCUGCACAAGGACAACAUGCAAAUGUGUAAAGCAUUCCAUAUCUUU